GAUUAAGUUAUUAAGGGCGCACGGUGGAUGCCUUGGCACUAGAAGCCGACGAAGGACGUUACUAACGACGAUAUGCUUUGGGUAGCUGUAAGUAAGCGUUGAUCCAGAGAUUUCCGAAUGGGGGAACCCAGCACGAGUUAUGUCGUGUUAUCGACAAGUGAAUUCAUAGCUUGUCAGAAGGCAGACCCGGAGAACUGAAACAUCUUAGUACCCGGAGGAAGAGAAAGAAAAAUCGAUUCCCUGAGUAGCGGCGAGCGAAACGGGAAGAGCCCAAACCAAUAAGCUUGCUUAUUGGGGUUGUAGGACACUCUAUACGGAGUUACAAAGGAAUAUAUUAGACGAAUCAUCUGGAAAGUUGAAUCAAAGAAGGUAAUAAUCCUGUAGUUGAAAAUAUAUUCUCUCUUGAGUGGAUCCUGAGUACGACGGAGCACGUGAAAUUCCGUCGGAAUCUGGGAGGACCAUCUCCUAAGGCUAAAUACUCUCUAGUGACCGAUAGUGAACCAGUACCGUGAGGGAAAGGUGAAAAGUACCCCGGAAGGGGAGUGAAAGAGAACUUGAAACCGUGUGCUUACAAGUAGUCAGAGCCCGUUAAUGGGUGAUGGCGUGCCUUUUGUAGAAUGAACCGGCGAGUUACGAUCUGAUGCAAGGUUAAGCAGGAGAUGUGGAGCCGUAGCGAAAGCGAGUCUGAAUAGGGCGUUGAGUAUUUGGUCGUAGACCCGAAACCAGGUGAUCUACCCAUGGUCAGGUUGAAGUUCAGGUAACACUGAAUGGAGGACCGAACCGACUUACGUUGAAAAGUGAGCGGAUGAACUGUGGGUAGCGGAGAAAUUCCAAUCGAACUUGGAGAUAGCUGGUUCUCUCCGAAAUAGCUUUAGGGCUAGCCUCAAGUGAUGAUUAUUGGAGGUAGAGCACUGUUUGGACGAGGGGCCCUCUCGGGUUACCGAAUUCAGACAAACUCCGAAUGCCAAUUAAUUUAACUUGGGAGUCAGAACAUGGGUGAUAAGGUCCGUGUUCGAAAGGGAAACAGCCCAGACCACCAGCUAAGGUCCCAAAAUAUAUGUUAAGUGGAAAAGGAUGUGGCGUUGCCCAGACAACUAGGAUGUUGGCUUAGAAGCAGCCAUCAUUUAAAGAGUGCGUAAUAGCUCACUAGUCGAGUGACACUGCGCCGAAAAUGUACCGGGGCUAAACAUAUUACCGAAGCUGUGGAUUGUCCGUAGGACAAUGGUAGGAGAGCGUUCUAAGGGCGUUGAAGCAUGAUCGCAAGGACAUGUGGAGCGCUUAGAAGUGAGAAUGCCGGUGUGAGUAGCGAAAGACGGGUGAGAAUCCCGUCCACCGAUUGACUAAGGUUUCCAGAGGAAGGCUCGUCCGCUCUGGGUUAGUCGGGUCCUAAGCUGAGGCCGACAGGCGUAGGCGAUGGAUAACAGGUUGAUAUUCCUGUACCACCUAGCAUCGUUUUAAUCGAUGGGGGGACGCAGUAGGAUAGGCGAAGCGUACGAUUGGAUUGUACGUCCAAGCAGUGAGAUUGAGUGUUAGGCAAAUCCGGCACUCUUAAGAUUGAGCUGUGAUGGGGAGAGGAAAUUGUUUCCUCGAGUCGUUGAUUUCACACUGCCGAGAAAAGCCUCUAGAUAGAUAAUAGGUGCCCGUACCGCAAACCGACACAGGUAGUCAAGAUGAGAAUUCUAAGGUGAGCGAGCGAACUCUCGUUAAGGAACUCGGCAAAAUGACCCCGUAACUUCGGGAGAAGGGGUGCUCUUUAGGGUGCAAGCCCAGAAGAGCCGCAGUGAAUAGGCCCAAGCGACUGUUUAUCAAAAACACAGGUCUCUGCUAAACCGUAAGGUGAUGUAUAGGGGCUGACGCCUGCCCGGUGCUGGAAGGUUAAGAGGGGUAGUUAGCUUCUGCGAAGCUACGAAUCGAAGCCCCAGUAAACGGCGGCCGUAACUAUAACGGUCCUAAGGUAGCGAAAUUCCUUGUCGGGUAAGUUCCGACCCGCACGAAAGGCGUAACGAUUUGGGCACUGUCUCAACGAGAGACUCGGUGAAAUCAUAGUACCUGUGAAGAUGCAGGUUACCCGCGACAGGACGGAAAGACCCCGUGGAGCUUUACUGUAGCCUGAUAUUGAAAUUCGGCACAGCUUGUACAGGAUAGGUAGGAGCCUUUGAAACGUGAGCGCUAGCUUACGUGGAGGCGCUGGUGGGAUACUACCCUAGCUGUGUUGGCUUUCUAACCCGCACCACUUAUCGUGGUGGGAGACAGUGUCAGGCGGGCAGUUUGACUGGGGCGGUCGCCUCCUAAAAGGUAACGGAGGCUGCUCAAAGGUUCUCUCAGAAUGGUUGGAAAUCAUUCAUAGAGUGUAAAGGCAUAAGGGAGCUUGACUGCGAGACCUACAAGUCGAGCAGGGUCGAAAGACGGACUUAGUGAUCCGGUGGUUCCGCAUGGAAGGGCCAUCGCUCAACGGAUAAAAGCUACCCCGGGGAUAACAGGCUUAUCUCCCCCAAGAGUUCACAUCGACGGGGAGGUUUGGCACCUCGAUGUCGGCUCAUCGCAUCCUGGGGCUGUAGUCGGUCCCAAGGGUUGGGCUGUUCGCCCAUUAAAGCGGUACGCGAGCUGGGUUCAGAACGUCGUGAGACAGUUCGGUCCCUAUCCGUCGUGGGCGUAGGAAAUUUGAGAGGAGCUGUCCUUAGUACGAGAGGACCGGGAUGGACAUACCUCUGGUGUACCAGUUGUCGUGCCAACGGCAUAGCUGGGUAGCUAUGUAUGGACGGGAUAAGUGCUGAAAGCAUCUAAGCAUGAAGCCCCCCUCAAGAUGAGAUUUCCCAACUUCGGUUAUAAGAUCCUCCAAAGAUGAUGAGGUUAAUAGGUUCGAGGUGGAAGCGUGGUGACACGUGGAGCUGACGAAUACUAAUCGAUCGAAGACUUAAUCAA
rnacentral:rRNA from 1 species